rnacentral:rRNA from 1 species
CCUACGGGGGGCAGCAGUGGGGAAUAUUGGACAAUGGGGGCAACCCUGAUCCAGCCAUGCCGCGUGUGUGAAGAAGGCCCUCGGGUUGUAAAGCACUUUCAGUGAGGAAGAACGCCUGGUGGUUAAUACCCAUCAGGAAAGACAUCACUCACAGAAGAAGCACUGGCUAACUCCGUGCCAGCAGCCGCGGUAAUACGGAGGGUGCGAGCGUUAAUCGGAAUUACUGGGCGUAAAGCGCGCGUAGGUGGCUUGAUAAGCCGGUUGUGAAAGCCCCGGGCUCAACCUGGGAACGGCAUCCGGAACUGUCAAGCUAGAGUGCAGGAGAGGAAGGUAGAAUUCCCGGUGUAGCGGUGAAAUGCGUAGAGAUCGGGAGGAAUACCAGUGGCGAAGGCGGCCUUCUGGACUGACACUGACACUGAGGUGCGAAAGCGUGGGUAGCAAACAGGAUUAGAUACCCGUGUAGUC